rnacentral:rRNA from 1 species
AUCAUUAAGCGGWGGAAAAGAAAACAAAAGUGAUAUCCUUAGUAACGGCGAGCGAACAGGAUAAAGCCCAACGCAAAGGCCGACUGCUCAUCUUGAGCGGCUGGCGAUGCUGCGUAUGGGUGCGGUGCUUGAGUUUAGAUUCGUCUGUUGGCAAGUGUACAAACGAGUUACCUAGUAGCUGACCAUAGCGGGUUGAAGUCCCGUGUGUACAUUGUAGGUCCACAGGCGACAGUACGAAGGCCUGCACCUGAGAGUAGGAUUGUUUGAGAUUGCAAUCUGAAGUAGGAGGUAUGCAUCUCCUAAGGCUAAAUAUGACUGCGAGACCGAUAGCGAACAAGUAGCGUGAGCGAAAGUUGAAAAGAACUUUGAAGAGAGAGUUCAAAGAGCGUGAAACCACUAGUAGGGAAACGGGUGUUACCUCGAGUAGGCGAUGCCGGCCUGUGGUCGUGCGUGAGCUGCCUGUCGUGCGAGCUGCAGAUAGAGGCGAUUCGUCGCUUUGAUUUUGCAGUUUGUGCUUGGGCCGCGCUACGGCUGUAAAGCAGGUCGGUUGCCAGUACGCAGUGCUCUUUCAAAGCUUGGUAUCUGUUAGUUGAGCCAGUGCAGCACCUUCGGGAAGGCUGCGCUGGUCUUCUGGCUUGGCUGUUUAGUGGCAGCGAGCUGUGUAUUGUGGUUUCACAUGAUGCACAGUUAGCUCUACAAGUCAGUACCGUUAGCAUAGGAAGAACAGUGCUGCGUAUAAGUAGAUCGGUAAGCACCUGUCCCGUCUUGAAACACGGACCAAGGAGCCUAACCUGUGCGCAAGUCAUUCAGUGUUUACAAAACUCGACUGGCGUAACGAAAGCAAUCUGGUGUACUUCGGUGCACUGCAAUCAGGUGUUGAUCCUUGUGUGACAGCAUCGCAGUUGCAAUGCGGCGCCUCGCGCGCCGUAUCAGAGCGCAUAGGGUAGUACCCGAAAGAUGGUGAUCUAUGCUUGAGCAGGACGAAGCCAAAGGAAACUUUGGUGGAAGUCUGCAGCAGUUUUGACGUGCAAAUCGAUUGUCAGACUCGAGUAUAGCGGCGAAAGACUAAUCGAACCAUCUAGUAGCUGGUUUCCUCCGAAAUUUCCCGUAGGAUAGCAAGCGCGUUACAUAUCAUUCAAACCUGUUACAGUCUCAAUAGAAGGUAACGGGGCGUUAAUUGACCUUGUCCUUUUCCUAAACUUGGUCAAUGGGUUCCACUUGCAAUUGCAUGCUUGCUGCAUGCAAUCAAAUAGCAAACUGGUUGAUGAUUUGCGCUUAGUGGGCCAUUUUUGGUAAGCAGAACUGGCGAUGUGGGAUGAACCGUACACAAAGUUAAAGUGCCUAAUGUGCAUACGCUAAGAAGAUCCCAUUAAAGAUGUUGUUCGCUUAAGACAGUAGGGCGGUGGCCAUGGAAGUCGGCAUCCGCUAAGGAGUGUGUAACAACUCACCUACCGAAGCGUUCAACUCUGAAAAUGGAUGGCGCUAAAGCGUUAUACUGAAACUUUGUCGUGUCAGUAAAUCCUGUUCAGGGCUCUGUGCUGUCUUUUACGCAGUACAGAGAUCAGACUGACACGAGUAGGAGGAAUGUGGCGGUGGCGUAGAAGCUUUGGACGUAAGUCCGGGUGGAGCCGCUGCUAGUACAGAUCUUGGUGGUAGUAGCAAACAAACAAGUGACAACCUUGUUGACCGACGUGGAUACGGGUUCCAUGUGAACAGUAAUUGGUCAUGGGUUAGUCGAUCCUGAGGGGCGCGGCGAAAGCCGUAUCGUAAGUAGCGUUCUUUGCUGAACGCGCUCCGAAAGGGAAUGAGGUUAAUAUUCCUCAACCUUGUCAGCGUAUUGGCUGUGGUCAAACACAGUCAUUAGCGGUAACGCGUUCGAACCCAGAGACGUGAGCCAAAGCCCUGGGAAGAGAUAUCUUCUCUUCUUUAAGCUGUUGCAGAAGCGCCUUGAAACAGUUUAGCUGGAGACAGGCGUGUACGCAGCGAAUUGCAGCGCGCUUCAUGUGCUGUGUCAGUGUGCUUUGGUUAACCCUUGAAAAUCUGGGCGAGUGUAUAAAACGCUGCAAGAUCGUACCUAGAUCCGCAACCGGUAUCCUAGGUGAACAGCCUCUGGUCUAUUAGAAUAAUGUAAGUAAGGGAAGUCGGCAAAACUGAUCUGUAUCUUUGGUACAAAGAUUGGCUCUG